GGUCGACGGAUCUUUCUCGAGAGAGAGAGAAACGUUCCCUUUCCAGUCGUCCCACUGAGAAGGCAUCGGACACCUGCGAAACUCGGCUGCUCGGUGAGAUAUUACUACCACACCGAGAAGCACGGGCCACGAAGGGCUUCCGCACGACUCGGGAUCGCUCUACUUCAAGGGACCGUUCGCUUUGCAGCAAAGGGACACCUCAUGGCCAAACCUCCGGGGAGGUUUGAUGUGAGAAACGACGCUCAGACAGACGUGCUCCUGGGAAUGCCCAAGAGCGCCAUUUGCGUUCAAAGAUUCGAUGAUUCACUAAAUUCUGCAAUUCACAUUACUUAUCGCAGUUUGCUGCGUUCUUCAUCGAUACACGAGCCAAGAGAUCCACCGUUUAAUGUUGUUCUCUUUUAAGUAACUCUCGUUCAGACGGAUCCCACCGAAGAAUCUAUACGUUAAGUCUUUGGGGUUUGAAACGUGGGUAAAAAACUAUUUCGGGGCUCGCCUAACACACCGAACUCCACCGUACCCACUGAAGAUAUAACGAUCGGGGAGA
rnacentral:misc_RNA from 1 species